rnacentral:rRNA from 1 species
AUUGAACGCUGGCGGCAGGCUUAACACAUGCAAGUCGAGCGGGGUGAUGGUGCUUGCACUAUCACUUAGCGGCGGACGGGUGAGUAAUGCUUAGGAAUCUGUCUAUUAGUGGGGGACAACAUCUCGAAAGGGAUGCUAAUACCGCAUACGUCCUACGGGAGAAAGCAGGGGAUCACUUGUGACCUUGCGCUAAUAGAUGAGCCUAAGUCGGAUUAGCUAGUUGGUGGGGUAAAGGCCUACCAAGGCGACGAUCUGUAGCGGGUCUGAGAGGAUGGCCCGCCACACUGGGGCUGAGACACGGCCCAGACUCCUACGGGAGGCAGCAGUGGGGAAUAUUGGACAAUGGGGGGAACCCUGAUCCAGCCAUGCCGGGUGUGUGAAGAAGGCCUUAUGGUUGUAAAGCACUUUAAGCGAGGAGGAGGCUCUUUUGGUUAAUACCCAAGAUGAGUGGACGUUACUCGCAGAAUAAGCACCGGCUAACUCUGUGCCAGCAGCCGCCGUAA